GACGAACGCUGGCGGCGUGCUUAACACAUGCAAGUCGAACGGAAAGGCCCUGCUUUUGUGGGGUGCUCGAGUGGCGAACGGGUGAGUAACACGUGAGUAACCUGCCCUUGACUUUGGGAUAACUUCAGGAAACUGGGGCUAAUACCGGCUAGGAGCUCCUGCUGCAUGGGGGGGGUUGGACAGUUUCGGCGGUUGGGGAUGGACUCGCGGCUUAUCAGCUUGUUGGUGGGGUAGUGGCUUACCAAGGCUUUGACGGGUAGCCGGCCUGAGAGGGUGACCGGCCACAUUGGGACUGAGAUACGGCCCAGAGUCCUACGGGAGGCAGCAGUGGGGAAUAUUGCACAAUGGGCGGAAGCCUGAUGCAGCAACGCCGCGUGCGGGAUGACGGCCUUCGGGUUGUAAACCGCUUUCGCCUGUGACGAAGCGUGAGUGACGGUAAUGGGUAAAGAAGCACCGGCUAACUACGUG
rnacentral:rRNA from 1 species